AUUGCACGCUGGCGGCAGGCUUAACACAUGCAAGUCGAACGAGUGGCGGACGUGUGCGUCAUGUGUGUGAACCUGGCUUAAGGAGGGGGAUAAGUACGGGAAACUGUAUCUAAUACCGCCUAACCUCGGAUGAGCCCAGAUGAGAUUAGGUAGUGGGUGAGGUCAAGGCGAACCAAGACGACGAUCCCUAGCUGGUCUGAGAGGAUGACCAGGCAAACUGGAAAUGAGACAAGGACCAGACGACUAUGGGAGGCAGAAGUGGGGAAGAUGGCACAGUGGGCGAAAGCCGGACGCAGCCAUGCCGCGUGGAUGAAGAAGGAAUAAGGGUUGUAAAGUACUUUUGGUUGUGCGGGGUUAGCUUUAGAAGAAGCACCGGGUAACUCCGAGCAAGCAGCCGCGGUAAUUC
rnacentral:rRNA from 1 species